AUUGAACGCUGGCGGCGUGCUUAACACAUGCAAGUCGAUCGGUAACGCGGGGGCAACCCUGGCGACGAGAGGCGGACGGGUGAGGAACGCUUGGGAAUCUGCCUAUCAGCGGGGGACAACCCGGGGAAACUCGGGCUAAUACCGCAUACGCUCUACGGAGGAAAGCCGGGGACCGCAAGGCCUGGCACUGAUAGAUGAGCCCAAGUCGGAUUAGCUAGUUGGCGGGGUAACGGCCCACCAAGGCGACGAUCCGUAGCUGGUCUGAGAGGACGAGCAGCAACACGGGGACGGAGACACGGCCAAGACUCCGACGGGAGGCAGCAGUGGGGAAUAUUGGACAAUGGGGGAAACCCUGAGCCGGCGACGCGGCGGGGGUGAAGAAGGCCUGCGGGUUGUAAAGCCCUUUCGGUAGGGACGAAAGCUCUCGACCUAACACGUCGGGAGGUUGACUUAACCUACAAAAGAAGCACCGGCUAACUCUGUGCCAGCCGCCGCUGUAAAAC
rnacentral:rRNA from 1 species